AAGAAUAAAAGUGAAGUUAAAAAUAAUUUUUGUGCGUUUGAUUUUAAAGCGAGGAUCGACACAGUGGUAGCAGACCGUAUUUGGAAACAUUUUGUUGAGGCUGCAUAGUAACCCUUGCCCAAGUAGGAGUAUUUACCCGAGCCAGAAGUGCAGGUAACCAGUCGAUCAGGAAACUGACUCUGUGGUGACCGACUGUAGCAAAAGUUGUCCCGUCAACAUCUGGUCCUUCGAAACCGGCAAUUAGGACAAAGUAAUAGAAGUUAAAAGUUCAUUGGGUUUUAAGACGGCAAGGAAAAUUCAAAAUUUCUGCACGGUGUGUCACAAAAAUGUUACCUGGUCAUCCCGGAUACAACAAAAAGAGCAUCACCACAGGCUAACGGGGAUUUACCAGUUACUUAUGCCGCUCCUCGGACUGGUAAAAUUUUUGAAUCUGGAUUUUUGUCCAAUUAAAUUAUUGAAAAAUCUGCCCUCCUCCCGUUUGGAAAAUUGAGGGGGACAGUCAAAUCGUUGUUAACUGUUGUGGUGCAAUCUUAAAAGACAAAAGAAAACCAACCGAGCACCAGUCAGUAACAGACAAAAUUAAGAUUCACCAUCAACACUUUAUCAAGCUUUAGCGCGUUUCCCUACUUGCCCUCCAUUUAUACCCUCGGUGAAGCUGUUAGUUGGAAUUUCCACUACUUUCCAAAAAAUGUCUGUCUUUUUCAUUGUUUGUUUACUUUAUUUUUGCCACUGGUACUACUAAACCUAUGAUAUUAAUCAGGGCUGUAUUUAUGCUACUGUCACCAUACCUCUUUGACUGACCAAAUACAUCCCUGAUGUGGCAUCACCUUUUUUUUGGUCUGGCAUGUUGUACUGACCGUUUCCGCUUCAUUUUUAAACCGGUGGCGGACGACGUACUUGGUUCGCCGAAAUGUUGCCAGUAGUUUUCCUCAAAAAAAAACUUAAAAAUUAUUCAGCAGUAAGUCACGCGCAACAAUACUUCGCCAUUUUCAUUUCACUCAAUGAAAAUGGUGAUGUGCGUGAUGGGGAAAAUGUGAAAUAAAUGAAAGCAGUCGUAUUUGGAAUACGGAAUACAGGUAAAGCAGAUUUUCUUCAAUGAGAAAAACUCGUGUUUGCCAUUGGUAAGCUUGUGCGUAUAUAUCGCAAAAAAAAUGGUGGCGUGGUUUUACGCACACAUACGUUUAUACGCACAUGAACCCUUUCAACACUCGGCGUUGUCAAUGCUGUUUCAUUGUGUCUCAAUUAAAGGCCUGCACAAGACGAAUUGUAUGAAUUAGCUGUUUUCGACACACUGACUUUGUCUACCCAAUCAUGCGCUAUGUAUUUGAGAGGCAAUGACAACCAACAACACCCCCCAUUUUGAUUCAUGUGUGCCAUUGUCUAAGGUUCGAUCGUGGCAUGGCUGACUCGAAUAUUUGCAUGGUGUUCUCAUGGCAUUGUGUGUCAUUUGUGUACGUGUGCUUAAAUUGAGAGAGUGUGUGUGUGUGUUACUUUUGACGGUGAGGGUGUGUUUUUGUGUGUGCUGUAAUUUUGAAGUAAGAAACACCGCGUUCACAUAAAAUUGAGUUCAAUAACAAAAUGUACAUAGACAUAAACAAAUGAAUAGAAAAAAUGGAAUAUAUUCUGAAUAAUCCCAAUUUAUUGGUGAUUAUCAUAAAAUUUUGGUCAUAAAAAACAGGUAAAUAUAGUUUGCCUAUUUCUACAUAUAGUGUUCUUUUAAAAUUAAAGUUUGGGGGCAGAGAUUUGACUCUCAUUCAAUAACAGAAUGUGCACAGAAUUGAACAAUGGAAGUAUAUAGAGUUGUUACAUGAAUUACAGUAGCACUCAUUCUCAUUUACAACUCACUACCGGAGGCAAACAUUUAUGAAAUUAUAAUCAAAAUAAGAAAAUUUUUCAGGGGAUUAUUGUUUUAAUAAGGAUGAACAUUUUGCGUUUGAUCAAACAGGGCACAAUAUGACGAGCGUUUUCUAUCCAUGGCAUAAAUCUCUCAAUGCAGUCAAUGCAGAAUGCCUUUACACACAUGCCUGUUGUCAUCGGCAGAAUUACUUCGUACACACAGCUGCCGGCAAUGGCAGAAUUUCUGUACGCAUACCGAUGUUAGCAUUGGCAGAACUAUUAAACACACAUCGCUGUCGGCAGCGUUAUUACACGAUUAUCGUAAUAUGUGUGUUGUCGUAUGAAGGGUCUACCAUUUUAUUCACACGGAACAACAGGCCAUAAAAGAAUGGAAUUUUAUAUAUGAAGAUAAACUUCAAUUGGCGUAUUCGGUAUUCCAGAUUACUUUCUUUUUUUAAUUGAUUGUACUUUAUGUGGUUUAUAUUUUUUUAUUUUAUUUCAGGAAUUUUAUAUAUGAAGAUACUCUUCAAUUGGCGUAUUCGGUAUUUCAGAUUACUUACUUUUUUUAAUUGAUCAUAAAGUACGAUCAAUUAAAAAAAGUAAGUAAUCUGUUUAUAUUUUUAUUUUAUUUCAGGAAUUUUAUAUAUGAAGAUACUCUUCAAUUGGCGUACUCUGUAUUUCAGAUUUUUAUUGUCCAUUAAAUUCAAUUACAUAUAUGACCCAUUCAUUGUGUGUUAUGUUAUAGUUAUGUACACAUGGCGGUUGGCGUGGCUUAUUAGGCCGACUAUAACCAUAUGCUGAUUGGAACAUAUGGUGGCAUGAGUUUUAUGGGCGACGUACGUGAAAAAGUUUCCCCAACUACCUGUUGGGUAGUUACCCUCGUCUCCUAUGUGCGUGUUUUAUAUUAUGGGACAAGCAGUAAAAUAGGACCUUUUCGUGUUUCAAACUGUAAACAUUUAUGGCAAAGUGUCUCAACCUUAAAUACGGGUUAUUUUUCGCUUUUGCUUGUGCAGCAACAUGAAAUUAUUGUGUUCCUGCAACUGUGUUCCUGCAACACAUCACAUAUAAAUGUUAGUGACACACAAUAUGCCAACUACCUGCAUUGCAUAACCCGGAUCAACAUCUUAAUAUUUUGGAAAAGAAGGUGCUAAACCAAAUAAAAAGAAUAUUUAUAAACAGGUUAAAAGUUCAUUGGGUUUUAAGGCCGCAAGGAAAAUUCAAAUUUCGGAGUUAUCAGCACGGUGUGUAACAAAAAUGUUACCUGGUCAUCCCGGAUACAACAAAAAGGGCAUCACCACAGGCUCACGGGAUUUACCAGUCACUUAUGCCGCUCCUCGGACUGGUCAAAUUUUCGAUUCUGGAUUUUUGUCCAAUUAAAUUAUUGAAAAAUCUGCCCAUUUGGAAAAUUGAGGAGGACAGUCAAAUCGUUGUUAACUGUUGUGGUACAAUCUUAAAGGACAAAAGAAAACCCACCGAGCACCAGUCAGUAAUAGACAAAAUUAAGAUUCACCAUCAACACUUACUUUUAUGUUUGUCUUCCCAAAACAUGGAUUAACACUCUUCAAUAAAAUAACUCAAAAUUCGAACAAAUUUAUAAAUCGUUUUAUUUUUCUGUUUUAAUAUUUUCUUGGUGUAAAUGUUGUAGUAUCCCAACGUAUAGGUUAGGCGCGGCACUUAAAACUUUAGCGCGUUUUCCUACUUGGCCUCCAUUUAUACCCCUUGGUGAACUUUGAAUACCCUCCACUUUUUGGAACGUAUUUAAAAUUUUUCAAAAAAUUAAAUUCUUAAAAAAUUCUGUUAACAUUUUAAAAAUACCAAAUAUAGCCGUCUAUUGGGGUCUAUACGACGUGGACCUACAUAGGCAUUGUUUAUCAUAAGCCAUUACCAUAUUCAAACUUGAAAUAAACAGUGAAUAAUGUAGCUUAAAUCGUCAAAAUAUCGCAUAUAGGAGGUACCGUUAUAUCGGAGCUGUGCGAAGACCU